GGGAAUUUUCCGCAAUGGGCGAAAGCCUGACGGAGCAAUACCGCGUGAGGGAGGACGGCUUUUGGGUUGUAAACCUCUUUUAUCAGGGAAGAAUCGAUGACGGUACCUGAUGAAUCAGCAUCGGCUAACUCCGUGCCAGCAGCCGCGGUAAUACGGAGGAUGCAAGCGUUAUCCGGAAUUAUUGGGCGUAAAGCGUCCGUAGGUGGUUUAUCAAGUCUGCUGUCAAAGCGUGCGGCUUAACCGCAUAAGGGCAGUGGAAACUGAUGAACUAGAGUGCGAUAGGGGUAACAGGAAUUCCCAGUGUAGCGGUGAAAUGCGUAGAUAUUGGGAAGAACACCAGCGGCGAAAGCGUGUUACUGGGUCUGCACUGACACUGAGGGACGAA
rnacentral:rRNA from 1 species